rnacentral:lncRNA from 1 species
GCUUCACACCACUGGAGCACCAUAGAGCCUCUUUUAGUGGACUCAUGAAAUCAUACAUAUAAGCAUUUACAACUGAAAUAAGUCAAUUCACAUCCCAGGAGGGUGUGAAGAAGAAAAAAGGAGAAAGAAACCAGGUGCUACUCUUCUAUAUUCUUCUGCUUUGACCAAAUUGACUUCUUCCUAAAGGAGAAAAAUCACUCUUUGUGCUCAGCUGUUUGAUUUGCUCCUCAGGGAGCUAUAAGCAUACCCAGUUUGGAAGUUUCAGAGUUAAGGGAUCAUGAGCAGAAUGAGUAUCUGGAUCCAUGAGCAGACCAUCCCUUUACAAAGAUGAGAAACCUGAGGUAGAUAGAAGUUAUGUGACUUGCUCAGAGUAUGUAACUGGUCUCUUGAAUACUCAUGGUCAAGGAGUGGGAGAAGGCAAGAAAAUACGCAACAGACAUUCGCUUCCAACUUAAGUCUUCCUUGUUGUAAACAAGUCACAUGAAAUACUGCUGAUGAAAGUAACCAUGAGUCAGAAUACAGUGCUGUCAGCAAAGUCAUCCCUAAGAACAAACAAUAGCAAUAAACUAGCAACUUGAGAAAAUUUUGACA